rnacentral:rRNA from 1 species
AACGAACGCUGGCGGCGUGCCUGAGACAUGCAAGUCGUGGGAGAAAGUCGGAGCAAUCCGGCUAGUAAACCGGCGCACGGGUGAGUAACACGUGGACAACCUGCCUUGGAGUUCGGGAUAACCCGUCGAAAGACGGACUAAUACCGGAUAUGACCACGGGGAGUUCGCUCUCUGAGGUAAAAGAUGGCCUCUGCUCCUGCAAGCUAUCUCUUCGAGAGGAGUCCGCGUCCAUCAGCUAGUUGGUGAGGUAACGGCUCACCAAGGCUAAGACGGGUAGCUGGUCUGAGAGGAUGGUCAGCCACACUGGGACUGAGACACGGCCCAGAGUCCUACGGGAUGCAGCAGUCAGGAAUAUUGCGCAAUGGAGGAAACUCUGACG